rnacentral:rRNA from 1 species
AUUGAACGCUGGCGGCAGGCCUAACACAUGCAAGUCGAACGAGUGGCGGACGGGUGAGUAAUGUCUGGGAAACUGCCCGAUGGAGGGGGAUAACUACUGGAAACGGUAGCUAAUACCGCAUACCAUCGGAUGUGCCCAGAUGGGAUUAGCUAGUAGGUGGGGUAACGGCUCACCUAGGCGACGAUCCCUAGCUGGUCUGAGAUGAUGACCAGCCAAACUGGAACAGAGACACGUUCCAGAGUCCGACGAGAGGGAGCAGGGGGGAAUAUUGCACAAUGGGCGCAAGCCUGAUGCAGCCAUGCCGGGUGUAUGAAGAAGGCCUUCGGGUUGUAAAGUACUUUCAGCGAGGAGGCGUUGCUCGCAGAAGAAGCACCGGCUAACUCCGUGCCAGCAGCCGCGGUAAUAC